rnacentral:rRNA from 1 species
CACCAGGUUGAUUCUGCCUGACGUAGAUGCUAGUCUCUAAGAUUAAGCCAUGCAUGUUUAUGUAAUAAAGGACGAACAGCUCAGUAGAACUACGAUUAUUUAGUCUGUUUGAUAAAGAUAACUACGUGAAAAUGUAGCUAAGAGAGAACAGAAUAAGACGUAGGACUAUCAGUUAGUUGGUAGUGUAAUGGACUACCAAGACGAUAACGGGUAACGGGGAAUCAGGGUUUGAUACCGGAGAGGGAGCCUGAGAGAUAGCUCCCACGUCCAUGGACGGCAGCAGGCGCGAAAAUUGCCCACUCUUUGUAGGAGGCAGUUAUGAGACGUGAAGUAGAAUAUUUCGUAAAGACGAAUAGGAGAAUUGGAGGGCAAGUUUGGUGCCAGCAGCCGCGG